UACGUAGGCAGCAAGCGUUGUUCGGAAUUACUGGGCGUAAAGAGUGUGUAGGCGGUGUUCUAAGUUUGUCGUGAAAUCUCCCGGCUUAACUGGGAGGGUGCGGCGAAAACUGGAAUGCUAGAGGAUGGGAGAGGUAAGCGGAAUUCCUGGUGUAGCGGUGAAAUGCGUAGAUAUCAGGAGGAACACCUGUGGUGUAGACAGCUUACUGGACCAUUUCUGACGCUGAGACACGAAAGCGUGGGUAGCAAACAGGA
rnacentral:rRNA from 1 species